CGCAGGGAGAGCGUGCUCGGGGCCCUUGACAUGGCGGCCGCGGCGGCUACUGCAGCGACAAAGGGGAAUGGGGGUGGGGGGGGACGGGCCGGAGCCGGCGAAGCUGGCGGCGCGCGGAAAAAGAAGGGCCCAGGGCCUCUGGCCACGGCGUACCUGGUCAUCUACAAUGUGGUGAUGACGGCGGGGUGGCUUGUUAUAGCAGUUGGUCUGGUCAGAGCAUACCUGGCUAAGGGUAGCUAUCAUAGCCUUUAUUAUUCCAUUGAAAAGCCUUUGAAAUUCUUCCAAACUGGAGCCUUAUUGGAGAUUUUACAUUGUGCAGUAGGAAUUGUUCCAUCUUCUGUUGUCCUGACUUCUUUCCAGGUGAUGUCAAGAGUUUUUCUAAUAUGGGCGGUAACACAUAGCGUAAAAGAGGUUCAGAGCGAAGACAGUGUCCUUCUGUUUGUUAUUGCCUGGACAAUCACAGAAAUUAUCCGUUACUCCUUUUAUACUUUCAGUCUAUUAAACCAUCUGCCUUACCUCAUCAAAUGGGCCAGGUACACACUUUUCAUUGUGCUGUACCCAAUGGGAGUGUCAGGAGAGUUGCUCACAAUAUAUGCUGCUUUGCCCUUUGUCAGACAGGCGGGCCUGUACUCCAUCAGUUUACCUAACAAGUACAAUUUCUCCUUUGACUAUUAUGCAUUCCUAAUUCUGAUAAUGAUCUCCUACAUUCCAAGUUAAAUUCAGACAGGAAGGUUGGAUUUUUCUUCAGCCCACAGCGUGAACUGAAUGAAUCAUCCUAACAAUCUUUUUCCCCAGUUAUACUUCCACAUGAUACACCAGAGAAGAAAGGUCCUUUCUCAUACUGAAGAACACAAGAAAUUUGAAUAGUUCCUGCUUUCUGCACACCCCUAAAAAACAAACUUUUCAAUGACAAAAAAUGCUGCAGACUUUUUGAGUUCCCAAUACGUUUCAUAGAAAAUAAGUAAGAACUAUUUUUAAAGUAUUAAAAAAAUAAAAACAAGAACCAAAAUCCAGUGUCACACAGGCCUGGGAUUUUAUUUAAAACAAAAAACAAAAACAAAGAACAAAAACUGUUACAUAAAACCUCCUGGCCGGUCCAUUUCAGCAUGCUUUUCAACCAGAAGUUCCCAAUAUUUAUGAUGGCUCUGGAAAGGGAUUUGGCAUUUUAUAUCCUCCUGUUUCCUUCUUGUAUCUGAUAAAUAAAGAUCUGUAACACUAAAUACUUGAGAGUUACAGUCUGAGUAAUGACGUUGUACCAGCUGAAUGCCCGGCUUGCAGUAGAGUUCUGUUUCAGUCUGCAGUGUGUUUGUUAGCAUUCCCUUUUCAAAGCGCUUGACCGCAUGCUGGAAACUCUGUAUUUUUGAAGUGGCAAACUUUGUUCUCUGGAAUGUUCUGAGAUUAUGGCUGGGACCUAUCCCCUCAUAUCUAGUGAACUAAUUAUACAAUGUAUAUGUCUGUGAAGCUUUGGGGUAGUACCUGUAAUCUGAAAACAACUAGAACCCUUUUGUUUGUUUUCAGUUGAGUCAUUACUGCCUGCCACUAAGAAACGUGCUUGAACUUAGUAUGUGUACAUCGUAGAGAACCUAUCUUAUCCAGGGCUCAGCCUCAAUCAUAUUUUAACACAGUGACAGUUCUCAGAAAGGGAAAGCUCAAUCGCUAGUAAAUGACAAGUACCUUUCACAGUAUCAUUCUCAGAACACCCCUGAGUAAUGUAUUUACCAAUAGCUAUUCUCGUUUGUGGACCCAAAGCCGGUCAAGUCCCAUAAGGAGUUAGAGAAUCUGUUACUGAAAGCACAUGGAAGGUGUAACUUUAGAAAUGUAAUCCCGAAGAACAUUCAGGGACAGGUUUAUACACCCUUAUUUUAUUUUUAAAUUUCAUUCAACUCUUCUGUUGGGAUACUUUUCCCAAUUAUGGUCCUGUGUAAGUCCCACCAAGUGUAAGUCCAGAGGCAGCGAUAUGUUCCCGUUGGGCAGCCAUGAGCUAAAAGCAGUGUCAUCCCCAUGUGUUGGAGCAGCCAAGCGAUAGUGUCCUGUGGACAUGGGCUGAUUACUGUCAUAUCUUCAUGCCAUUUAAUUGCUCAGCUGUGCAUUUAAGACUCUUCAAGAAAGGGUUGAUGAAAAUGUAAAGCCCAAGUUCAGAUGUGCAUUAGAUUUUAAACACAGAAUGUUCUUUGUGGAUUCUUUCUUCCACCCCCCACCUUUCUUUUUUAAUGGUUGAUUUAAAAAAUGUUAAAAGCCUAGCUUACUAGCUUACUGAGUAGUUAUUUAAAAUAUAGUUGCUAAUGUCAGAAGGAUGUCAUAAUGGAAAACUAAUUUUUUAAGUGUUAUUUUCAUAAAAGCUUGACAAUUAAGAUGAAAAUGAGAAGAAAGUAUGCAGCCUAAAAUUUAAUGCAGGCAGAUGCGUAAUAAAAUUAUUUUUGAAUUGAACAUUAAAAUUCUGCUUCUUUAAGUCAGCACUCUUAACUUGGGCAUGUUGAGAUUAGAAUCUGUUCUUGUACUUCAUAAACUAAAUAUAGAGGAAAGACUAUUUUUCAUGCUUUUUCUUUUUCCAAAAUGUACUUCUACUGUAAAACAGAAACAAUUUGAGUUACAUUAGUCUUAUUACUUAGUUUGGGUAAGAUUUUUUCAGUCUUUUCUGGAAUAGUUCCAGAAGAUGGGAUAAAAAAAAAUGUAGAUUUUCCAGGAUCGCAGGACUGGGGUUUUAUUCGGGCCUCUCUGUUAUAAUUUGUCGCUAUUUACAAAGAACGGUCUGUCGCAAACAGUGGUAUUGCACCAAAUUGAACUUUGGCAGCAAGAACACAGUGUGCAACUCCCUCCUCAAAAAGGGUCUCCACCCCUGUGUGUACUUCUGUCCAUCAGCGUUUAAAAGGCUCAUGGCAGAUAAGUAAGGCGUGCGUGCGGCCAUCACCUCCCUCCGUAACUGGUUUCUUUUAUCUCCAACAUGAAUUAACUUCUCCUUUGAAGUGGCAGUGUUCUUUUAUGAAUUGAGAACAUCUAACCCCACCAACUGUCACACCUUAACAACGUGUGAACGAGGAAGGUGGUGUUCGGUGGGUAUUUUGUCAGACUUCCCGUUUUCAUUUCAGGACACAGUCAAAGGCGUCACCUGCCCGGCUGCCCACCUGAUUGGGUAUCUCAGGUUACCCCCUUCAGGGACCACCUUCCAGCAGAGAAUUCUUUGGGGUAUGCAGUAGUGCUUUGUAGACACUGAUCUGCAUCCUGCUGUGCUCUGUUUGCUCAGGUUGGGAUCACUCACUUAACAUGUACUGACCGUUAUCAAAGGCACCAUGGAGAGUUAGUCAUGGAAUAAAAGCACUGUCCUUCCAGAUAAAAGCUGUUCCUCUGGAGCAGACUUCCCACGGGAAGGGUUUAGAAGAUGUAGAGGUAAAUUACGAGGCAUAUGAAGAUUGUGCCCUCAUUUCUACUCGUUUGUUUCGGUUAUUCAUUUAUAAUAAAAGAUUGGCGUUGACGUGGUACAACCUGCAAAUUAUUUUCAACUCUGAGUUUCUAGAUAAAACAUUGUAAAACAUCAAAACCAGUACAUACUGCUCCUUUGAAAUUUGGGUAAAAAAUUAUACAACCAUAUAUAUAGUCAUUUUUGUAUUUUUUCUAUGUUGUGAAAACCAAAAUUGUAAUUUUAUAAGUCUUUGAUUCACUAAAAUUAUAUAAUUUAAAUGUAUUUUUUGUAUAUUUAGAAAUAAGGAGUUCAAAGACUAUAUCUAACUUUCUAUGCAUGCAUUUGGAAGCUGUUUUUACCUGAUAACGUUAAUGUAGUAAUAAGUUGUAUUCAUAAAAUAUGGAUCUGUGUUGCAUUUCAAAAUAAACUGGUGUGUGCUCUGCCUGGAUUUGAAAUACUGA